rnacentral:rRNA from 1 species
CUACGGGGUGCAGCAGUGAGGAAUUUUGCGCAAUGGGGGAAACCCUGACGCAGCAACGCCGCGUGAGCGAAGAAGGCCCUCGGGUCGUAAAGCUCUGUCAAGUGGGAAAAAAAUUCUUUGAUCAAUAGUCAAAGGGCUUGAUGGUACCACUGGAGGAAGCACCGGCUAACUCCGUGCCAGCAGCCGCGGUAAUACGGAGGGUGCAAGCGUUGUUCGGAAUUACUGGGCGUAAAGAGCGUGUAGGCGGUUUGGCAAGUCAGAUGUGAAAGCCCUGGGCUCAACCUGGGAAGUGCAUUUGAAACUGCUUGACUAGAGUAUGGGAGAGGAGAUUGGAAUUCCUGGUGUAGAGGUGAAAUUCGUAGAUAUCAGGAGGAACACCCGUGGCGAAGGCGAUUCUCUGGACCAAUACUGACGCUGAGACGCGAAAGCGUGGGGAGCAAACAGGAUUAGAUACCCGCGUAGUC